rnacentral:misc_RNA from 1 species
GGACUUGUCAUCUGUUUUUCUCCUCUUCUUAUUUUGCACUCUUUUGUUCCUGGUAAUAUUCUAUUUUCACACCUUUCGCGAGAGGGACUCGUCUGUUCACAGGAAGAAAUUAAGAAGAAACUAAAAGAAAAACAAGAAGCAAUGAGCAAGGCAGAGCUAAUAUUCGUUCCAGCUCCUGGAGUUGGUCACAUAGUUUCCACCAUUGAAUUCGCUAAGAGUCUGAUCCUCCGUGAUAAUCAAAUACUGGUUACCAUUCUCGUCAUGAAACUACCCAUCACUCCUUUUAUUGAUGCAUACACCAAAUCACUCACUGCUUCCCAACCCAAUAUCCGUCUCAUUAACCUCCCUCAAGUGGAUCUUCCUUCUCCUGAACUUUUGGCCAAAUCUGUAGAAAGCUAUAUUUGUGCCGUUAUCGAAAGUCACAAACCCCAUGUGCAAAAAA